AUAGAGGACUGAGCCCAGGCACGCACGGCUGGCCAGGUGGGGUCCCCAACCCCGCUCAGCCUUGUCUCUGCAUGGAUGCUGAAGGAUCAGGCUCACUUGAAGUUCUGAGCUUUAGCAGUAAGAAAAGGCUGAGCAGCCUCUGGUUCCCGUACCAGUCAAGUGAUUGGAGUUCCUUCCCAGUUUGGAAA